GCCUCCUUAGCUCAGUUGGCAGAGCGUGUGACUCUUAAUCUCAAGGUCGCGGGUUCGAAACCCGCAGGAGGCU
rnacentral:tRNA from 1 species